AACGAACGCUGGCGGCAUGCCUAACACAUGCAAGUCGAACGAGACCUUCGGGUCUAGUGGCGCACGGGUGCGUAACGCGUGGGAACCUGCCCUUAGGUUCGGAAUAACUCCCCGAAAGGGGUGCUAAUACCGGAUAAUGUCUUCGGACCAAAGAUUUAUCGCCUUUGGAUGGGCCCGCGUUGGAUUAGCUAGUUGGUAGGGUAAAAGCCUACCAAGGCGACGAUCCAUAGCUGGUCUGAGAGGAUGAUCAGCCACACUGGGACUGAGACACGGCCCAGACUCCUACGGGAAGCAGCAGUGGGGAAUAUUGGACAAUGGGCGGAAGCCUGAUCCAGCAAUGCCGCGUGAGUGAUGAAGGCCUUAGGGUUGUAAAGCUCUUUUACCCGGGAUGAUAAUGACAGUACCGGGAGAAUAAGCUCCGGCUAACUCCGUG
rnacentral:rRNA from 1 species